CACCAAGAAAUUUUAUUUGUUGCAAUUUGAUGUCAAAUAACAUUACUGGGUAAAUAACUUUUUAUAUACACAUACUAAAACACAAAUGCAGAUUUAUGGGUCAGAUGACAGUUAUUAUUUUUCCUGUGCAUGUGGUAAUUCAUUAACAUCGCCUCAGAAAUAUAUUAGAAUACACAUGUGUAUAUAGAAUAUACAUUCGUACCUACAUAAACAUGUGAUAUGUAUAGUUUUUAACAAAUACACUGGCCAUUACCCAUUACACUUGAAAAUACAUGUAUGAACUACCUCAUGAAAUGUAAACAGGAGUAUAAAGAACCACAAGUUUCUACCGAUAAUAGACAUCUAAAAGUCUUGACUAUGGAGAGAGAGUUCUUUUUUACAUAAACAUAUUUAACCCAAAGUAGAAGUCAUUUUUGGAAAUCCCUCUAUUAGAUAACACAAUUCUCCUUCAUUUGAUACUGAUUUCUGUUGUACUAACCACAGCCUAUUUUUUAUAUACUCCUAACAGAAUAAGACACACAAAAAUAAGAGUUAAAUAUUGGUGUGUUUUAAAACUCUCACAUCUUUGAAAGCACUACUUGAACCUACCUACUUUAUUUUAUUUCUGACUGUGCCCUAAGACACCAUGAAGAGAAGACGCCAAUUUAAAAAGUUCAACAAAUAGGAAAAUCCUAUUGGUAUAAAAAUUUAAAAUAUUGGCUUUCUAGCUCAGUAAUUGUCACAGCUUACUGUAUUCAAGUGAACAUCUAUACAUCUAUUCCUGCUUGCAUCUUAGAGUGGGAUUUAAAAUUUUUCAAAGGAUAAUCCUUCAAUAUUGUAUUUUGAAGCACGUACAUUAAGGUAAAUUUCUUUUAAAGCUAUCACACUUUCUGUGUGAAAGUUGAAGACAACUUAUAUGAAUAAUAUUCUGUUAUGUAAGGAAGGGGUAUUCCAGUUGUACCCGUAAAACUGACAAAUCUGUCCUAGUGUUGGGGAUUUGCCACUAAGUUUUUUGUUGGGAUAGAAAUUAU
rnacentral:lncRNA from 1 species